GCCGGGUUCGCCUAGAUUGGUAGGGCGCAGGCUUGCUAAGCCUGUACCCCGUAAGGGGUGCGGGGGUUCGAGUCCCCCACCCGGCG
rnacentral:tRNA from 1 species